rnacentral:rRNA from 1 species
CAGUAGCCGCGGUAAUACGUAGGGGGCGAGCGUUGUCCGAAGUUACUGGGCGUAAAGAGCGCGUAUGCUGGUCUUUAAGUGAGUGGUGAAAGGUUCGGGCUCAACCCGGACACUGCCUUUCAUACUGGGGACCUUGAGUGUGGGAGAGGCGAGUGGAAUGGUCGGUGUAGCGGUGAAAUGCGUAGAUAUCGAUCGGAACACCCAUGGCGAAGGCAGCUCGCUGGCCUAACACUGACGCUGAGGCGCGAAAGCGUGGGGAGCAAACAGGAUUAGAUACCCCCGUAGUCCCUGUCUCUUAUAC